rnacentral:rRNA from 1 species
GUGGGGAAUCUUGCGCAAUGGGCGAAAGCCUGACGCAGCCAUGCCGCGUGGAUGAUGAAGGUCUUAGGAUUGUAAAAUCCUUUCACCGGUGAAGAUAAUGACUGUAGCCGGAGAAGAAGCCCCGGCUAACUUCGUGCCAGCAGCCGCGGUAAUACGAAGGGGGCUAGCGUUGCUCGGAUUUACUGGGCGUAAAGGGCGCGUAGGCGGACAUUUAAGUCAGGGGUGAAAUCCCGGGGCUCAACCUCGGAACUGCCUUUGAUACUGGGUGUCUUGAGUAUGAGAGAGGUGUGUGGAACUCCGAGUGUAGAGGUGAAAUUCGUAGAUAUUCGGAAGAACACCAGUGGCGAAGGCGACACACUGGUUCAUUACUGACGCUGAGGCGCGAAAGCGUGGGGAGCAAACAGGAUUAGAUACCCCUGUAGUCC